rnacentral:tRNA from 5 species
UCCUCCUUAGCUCAAUGGUAGAGCACGCGGCUGUUAACCGCGGGGUUGUUGGUUCGAGCCCAACAGGGGGAGCCA